AAAACACUUUUGUAUUUGCUGCUAGAUGGUGAAUCAAAACCGUUUGGGUCUUGGUCCCCAUCAACCAGCAAUUUUCAAGUGUUUAUC
rnacentral:pre_miRNA from 1 species